AUAUCUCAAUAGAGCCAUUAUAUAUUAUUUUAAAAAAUCUGUUGGGCUCAGACAUGGCUAAUUAGUGGCAGGGCAGCUUUCCAGCUCUCUUACCACGACAAUGACCUUUCUCUGUGGGCCUCAAAUGACCCUUUGUUGUAAUACCUGUGUCUUUUGCCAAGACUGGCUUGAAUAAUUGCUUUGAUCCUCUCAAUCACUUCCUCAUGUGACAGCCUCAUGAGUCCACCCCUAUAUGACAAGUCAGACUGUGCAUGCUCCACUGGGCUUCAUGUUCAAAGUGGCCAAGAUCAUGCCUAGACCACCUCUAUCAGAGUGAAGACAGCUUUGCAUUUUGGAAACAAUAUCUACCCAGGAAGCAAAUAAUGAAACAUUCAAUUUUCAAGGCUCUCCCAAUGGUAAUGGAUCCUGUUGGGAAAGCCCUCUGGACAUGUGCAGGAGAGGGUCAUGUGUGAUGAAAUGAGAAAGGACACAGCCAAUGAGGAGACCACUUCUGAAACUACCUAGACACAAACCAGAUUCAGGGGCCAUACGUCUCUUCUUGAAGUCACGUUCCCAAGCUCUCUGGGCAAUUGGGAAGUACAUUGAAGAAGCAUCAGUCAAUUACUGCUAGCGAAAUGUUUUGUAUAAACAGCAACUUCAAAGCACAUGGAAAUCCCAUAGGCCCACAGCUUGUUUUUUUUCAAACACAAGGGCCUUGCAGCCAUUAGGCUGACCUGUGUUAUAAAUGGCUCAGGUCCCGGGGUGAGGCUGCCCUUCUAUCUGAGGUCCCUCUGAUUGCGGUUUUCACCUCCAGAGCUGGGUCCACACAGCACAAAGCCAGAUGGAAACUCGGCAACUGCACUGACUCGGUGAGAGAAUCCACUCAGGAAGAGGCCAGUGUGCAUCAUGCAGGCCCCUGCUUGCUUUCCAGGAGGAAUCUGCACAAAGAAACUAGAGAGCUCUCACAUGCGCCAGCAUUGCCUGGGAUGUUUUUCAUCAUGAGGGAUCUGGUCGGUCUACUUGCAAGGAUGUCACCUUCCAGCAGAGAGGAGCCAUACCGGGUGCUUCCUUAUGAUGGAAACCUGGUCUGGGUUGCUCACCACUGAACCUCCUCACACCUGGAGCCGUGCCUAGCACAAGGAGCUUACGUAUCCUCAGAAGAGAAGAAACAGAGACGAUUGCUGUCUUCAUUUUAGAGACAAAGAACCCGAGGCGUAGAGAGCCAGGAAAUGGAGGUAAUGACUUCUGCCCUGGAGGACUACAUGGCAUCUUCUAUGUUGAAACCACUUUCAAAGUUUUCAAAACUAUACACCCAUCAUGUAUCACUAAUAUAGCUCGAUAUACUACGGAUCACAGUCCUGACUUCAACUGUUAGUGUAAUGUCUCAUCAACACUGAGAACACGUUAUGUGGUGUUUUACUGUCAUGAACGAAACCUAUUUCCCCAGAAAAACUGGCAGAUAUUAGCAUUAAUCUGAUUUUUCAAAGAAGUUAAUUAUUUCCCAGAAUAAGUCACUGUGACUUAUCAAAGGGCCUUGGUUGGUGGGAAGUAAAGCCCAGACUGCAUUCUUGAAGCUGCUAGCCUUUGCCAGCUCAUUGCAAAUUGAGCAACACUGAUGAACCCACAGUUAAUCUAUGGAGUCAAAUGCAACUGGACACAAAUGCCUGGGGAUUUUCCCUGUGAGAUUCUCUUGCCCUUCUGGUGAUGGUGAAGGACAGCACUACCCAUGGCAGGGGCGGUCACUAGUCUCUGGCAUUUACUUGACCUUAUGGCUGCCAUGAACACCAGGCACAGCCUUUGCAGGAGGCACUGCUGCCUUCAGCCUGCCUGGCCUGGGGGCGCAGAGAGGAAAGGGAUAUGGGCUUUUGCAAAAGGCCCCUAGAGCAAAGUCAGACUGAUGGCAAAGGCUUGAGUGCUCGAUGGGCGAGGGAGAUGCUUUCGCUUCAAUUUUCACUGAGUAAUGAGGCGUACUGAGCAAAAUACACUUGUCCUUGGAAUGUGAGGCACACACGUGGCAGGCAUAAAGUUAUAAAAAGGAGGAGCUCCUUAGUCUGCUGAACUUAAAGACUUAUCUUGCCUUCCUGCUGUUAAUUCUUUACAGAGACUUCCUCUUCUCCAUUUCCCAGGGUUCUCCAUGGGGAUGUGCUUGAGGGAGAAUGAGCAGUUUAAGAGAAAAGAAUUCCUCCAGAGUGGGUUGUGGAGAGCACUGGAGAAGGUCUGGGCUGGAGCUAGAGAUUUACCUUGGCUAAAGAUAAGAGUCUGUGGUGUAUAUACACAAUGGAAUACCAUUCAGCCUUGAAAAAGAAGGAAAUAUGUCAUCAGU
rnacentral:lncRNA from 1 species